rnacentral:snRNA from 1 species
ACACGUGCCUGGCUGGGGAGAUAUCCUGAUGCCAUAGGUGGCUUUCCCAAGGUGAGUCUCACCUGUGAGCCGACCCCUGCAAUUUUCCCCAUGUGGGAAACGCGACUGCCUCAUUGGGGCUGUGGGGAGCUGGAUUCACAUUCCCCC